GGGGGGGAGAUAUUAUAUAGAUGGAAUUGAUUUUCUUGGGAUUGAUUGCUUCAUGAAUAUUGCAGGAAUUGAAACAUUUGCAAUAUUUAUCCAUAAAAACUCAACCCAAUGCAAUGAUGGGAAGAUACUAAUAGCAGCUCUUAAGCUGAGGACAAAAAGACACAGAGGGAGAGCAGAGAGAACUCGGGAUAUUUCAAAAGCAGCAGAAAGGAGGCUUCUCUCAUGUCCCUGCAUGGAGCUGGAGCUGACAGAGGGAGCUCAUUCGUCAGUGUGGGACAGUCAAGGUUCCAUCAUCAUGAAUUGAAUCCUGAAAACAAGAGAACUACCAAGAAUUAGAAGAAGUUCUUUUGCAUGUAUGUUAGAUAUUAAAUAACAUUAACCACUAAUGCUUUUCAAAAGUCUUUCCUCCUAUCUAAGCUUGGGGUGUGUGUGUGUUAAUAUUACCUGCAACCUUAGUGUUGCUCUCUCUCCGUGUAAGCAGAGAUCAAACAAUUCCAUUCAGCAAAUAUUUAAUACAAA
rnacentral:lncRNA from 11 species